GCCUAAUCACAUCGACUAGCCUCCUGCCUAAUCUCCUCCAAUACUUUUCCAUUAGCUCACCCCAGCAUUUAAAAACUCUUCCACUUUUUGUUUCAAAUGGCAUUGAGUUCAAUCUCCCCUAUUGCAAUAGUCUUGAAUAAUCUUCCCUGCUGUUUUAAAGAAAUGCCUGGUGCAAUUUCUCUUGGCUAUCCCACAUCUCAGGAAUCACUGGAAAACUGGGGAGGAGAUCUUUGGACUGGGCACAGCCAUGCAGUAUGGUAGAUCUGGGUUGGGAGUACCUGCCUAGAAUCUUUUUUUUUUUUUUUUUUUUUUUUUUAAGGAACUACCCCUCCCUACUCUCCAUAGCUUUGUGGGAACUGCCAAUCAAUGUGCCUCCCCUCUCUAUUCCCCCGCCAAGUGGUGGACAAACGAUCGGGGCUGAGCUGGACCUGUGAAACUCUCAAGGAGUGGACAUCUCCAAAAUUGACCACAUCUACAAAGAUUUGACAAAUCCAUUCCAGGGCAUGGUCAAAAAAAUAAAAUAGAUAAAAACUGUUGUUCUUAAAAAGUCUGAAUACAGAAAGAAUAUCUCUUAAUCUAAUGCUCAGUAACAACUCAGACAGAGGCACAAGAUCAGCCUGAUGGAUGUUUGAAGACAUAAAAAUUGUACUUUUUUCAUAUUUAAUUCAGAUAUCAUGCCUUGUAUAGUCUUACGCUGAAGAAAUACACACGAGAACGGAAUGGCUACCAUGCUUUGGAUACACACACAGGUGUAUACAGCCGUCCCUUUUAUCCUCGGUUUCUCUUUCACGAGUUUCAGUUACCUGUGGUCAAUAGUGGUCUGAAAAUAGGUUCUUCUCAUGAUUGUUGCAGAGAAGCAAUUAAAAGGGAAGUCAGAAGGCAUGCAAGGGGAAUUUCCAGAGGAGGCCCGAUGAAAGAAAGAACUUGAAAUUGUGAAGUCAUAUAUAUAAAACAGUAAAAUGCAGCAGAUGAGAAGUAAAAUAAGUAAGUGGAUGGUGAAACAUUCCAAACAUACAUGCGUGCAGGUAUAUAUACAUACAUAUGCAUGUAUAUGUAGACAUGCACUUUUGUAUGGUUCUGAAAUAUAUCAAUAUGUGUG
rnacentral:lncRNA from 1 species